GGGUUGUGAGGUUAAGCGACUAAGCGUACACGGUGGAUGCCCUGGCAGUCAGAGGCGAUGAAGGACGUGCUAAUCUGCGAAAAGCGUCGGUAAGGUGAUAUGAACCGUUACAGCCGGCGAUGUCCGAAUGGGGAAACCCAGUGUGAUUCGUCACACUAUCGUUAACUGAAUACAUAGGUUAACGAGGCGAACCGGGGGAACUGAAACAUCUAAGUACCCCGAGGAAAAGAAAUCAACCGAGAUUCCCCCAGUAGCGGCGAGCGAACGGGGAGCAGCCCAGAGUCUGAAUCAGCUUGUGUGUUAGUGGAACGGUCUGGAAAGUCCGACGGUACAGGGUGAUAGUCCCGUACACCAAAAUGCACAGGCUGUGAACUCGAAGAGUAGGGCGGGACACGUGGUAUCCUGUCUGAAUAUGGGGGGACCAUCCUCCAAGGCUAAAUACUCCUGACUGACCGAUAGUGAACCAGUACCGUGAGGGAAAGGCGAAAAGAACCCCGGCGAGGGGAGUGAAAAAGAACCUGAAACCGUGUACGUACAAGCAGUGGGAGCACCUUCGGGUGUGACUGCGUACCUUUUGUAUAAUGGGUCAGCGACUUAUAUUCUGUAGCAAGGUUAACCGUAUAGGGGAGCCGCAGGGAAACCGAGUCUUAACUGGGCGUUAAGUUGCAGGGUAUAGACCCGAAACCCGGUGAUCUAGCCAUGGGCAGGUUGAAGGUUGGGUAACACUAACUGGAGGACCGAACCGACUAAUGUUGAAAAAUUAGCGGAUGACUUGUGGCUGGGGGUGAAAGGCCAAUCAAACCGGGAGAUAGCUGGUUCUCCCCGAAAGCUAUUUAGGUAGCGCCUCGUGAAUUCAUCUUCGGGGGUAGAGCACUGUUUCGGCUAGGGGGUCAUCCCGACUUACCAACCCGAUGCAAACUACGAAUACCGAAGAAUGUUAUCACGGGAGACACACGGCGGGUGCUAACGUCCGUCGUGAAGAGGGAAACAACCCAGACCGCCAGCUAAGGUCCCAAAGUCACAGUUAAGUGGGAAACGAUGUGGGAAGGCACAGACAGCCAGGAUGUUGGCUUAGAAGCAGCCAUCAUUUAAAGAAAGCGUAAUAGCUCACUGGUCGAGUCGGCCUGCGCGGAAGAUGUAACGGGGCUAAACUGUGCACCGAAGCUGCGGCAGCGACACUAUGUGUUGUUGGGUAGGGGAGCGUUCUGUAAGCCUGCGAAGGUGGCCUGUGAGGGUUGCUGGAGGUAUCAGAAGUGCGAAUGCUGACAUAAGUAACGAUAAUGCGGGUGAAAAGCCCGCACGCCGGAAGACCAAGGGUUCCUGUCCAACGUUAAUCGGGGCAGGGUGAGUCGACCCCUAAGGCGAGGCCGAAAGGCGUAGUCGAUGGGAAACAGGUUAAUAUUCCUGUACUUGGUGUUACUGCGAAGGGGGGACGGAGAAGGCUAUGUUAGCCGGGCGACGGUUGUCCCGGUUUAAGCAUGUAGGCGGAGGUUCCAGGUAAAUCCGGUACCUUUUUAACGCUGAGGUGUGAUGACGAGGCACUACGGUGCUGAAGUAACAAAUGCCCUGCUUCCAGGAAAAGCCUCUAAGCAUCAGGUAACAUUAAAUCGUACCCCAAACCGACACAGGUGGUCAGGUAGAGAAUACCAAGGCGCUUGAGAGAACUCGGGUGAAGGAACUAGGCAAAAUGGUGCCGUAACUUCGGGAGAAGGCACGCUGAUAUGUAGGUGAAGCCCCUGCGGGUGGAGCUGAAAUCAGUCGAAGAUACCAGCUGGCUGCAACUGUUUAUUAAAAACACAGCACUGUGCAAACACGAAAGUGGACGUAUACGGUGUGACGCCUGCCCGGUGCCGGAAGGUUAAUUGAUGGGGUUAUCCGUAAGGAGAAGCUCUUGAUCGAAGCCCCGGUAAACGGCGGCCGUAACUAUAACGGUCCUAAGGUAGCGAAAUUCCUUGUCGGGUAAGUUCCGACCUGCACGAAUGGCGUAAUGAUGGCCAGGCUGUCUCCACCCGAGACUCAGUGAAAUUGAACUCGCUGUGAAGAUGCAGUGUACCCGCGGCAAGACGGAAAGACCCCGUGAACCUUUACUAUAGCUUGACACUGAACAUUGAGCCUUGAUGUGUAGGAUAGGUGGGAGGCUUUGAAGCGUGGACGCCAGUCUGCGUGGAGCCAACCUUGAAAUACCACCCUUUAAUGUUUGAUGUUCUAACGUUGGCCCCUUAUCGGGGUUGCGGACAGUGUCUGGUGGGUAGUUUGACUGGGGCGGUCUCCUCCCAAAGAGUAACGGAGGAGCACGAAGGUUAGCUAAUCCUGGUCGGACAUCAGGAGGUUAGUGCAAUGGCAUAAGCUAGCUUGACUGCGAGCGUGACGGCGCGAGCAGGUGCGAAAGCAGGUCAUAGUGAUCCGGUGGUUCUGAAUGGAAGGGCCAUCGCUCAACGGAUAAAAGGUACUCCGGGGAUAACAGGCUGAUACCGCCCAAGAGUUCAUAUCGACGGCGGUGUUUGGCACCUCGAUGUCGGCUCAUCACAUCCUGGGGCUGAAGUAGGUCCCAAGGGUAUGGCUGUUCGCCAUUUAAAGUGGUACGCGAGCUGGGUUUAGAACGUCGUGAGACAGUUCGGUCCCUAUCUGCCGUGGGCGCUGGAGAAUUGAGGGGGGCUGCUCCUAGUACGAGAGGACCGGAGUGGACGCAUCACUGGUGUUCGGGUUGUCAUGCCAAUGGCAUUGCCCGGUAGCUAAAUGCGGAAGAGAUAAGUGCUGAAAGCAUCUAAGCACGAAACUUGCCCCGAGAUGAGUUCUCCCUGACUCCUUGAGAGUCCUGAAGGAACGUUAAAGACGAUGACGUUGAUAGGUCGGGUGUGUAAGCGUAGCGAUACGUUGAGCUAACCGAUACUAAUGAACCGUGAGGCUUAACCUUACAACGCCGAAG
rnacentral:rRNA from 1 species